rnacentral:lncRNA from 1 species
GCCAAUCCUGGUGCACUUACAACAUCAUUUCUGCACCUACAAAAUUAUGGACCAGAUUUUGGAGAGCAACAAGUUCACCAAGUACAGACGGGGUUUCACCGUGUUAGCCAGGGUGGUCUCGAUCUCCUGACCUCAUGAUCCACUCACCUCGGCCUCCCGAAGUGCUGGGAUUACAGGCGUGAGCCACCGUGCCCGGCCUUGCUUUCAUCAUUAAAGAAGACAUACAUCUUCCCUUUUGUGGACACAAGCCUGAUCAUUGGAGCUUCAGCAGCUAUCUGGUAAUAAUGAGAGAAAGGCCAAGCCCAGGGAAUUACAGAGACAUUGGCCCUGCCAUUACUGAGUAACUGAACCAACUCCAGCAACUACCCAAGAAACUUCCUGUUGUGAGAGAAUAAGCAAACUUAUAUCUAUUCUAACUCUUGUAUUUAGCUUCUCUGUUACUUGCAGCUGAAUAAAUAUAGCAUUUAAAAAAAUUACCUUACGUAAUUAUAAGUGCUUCAUCCCAAAGAGACGACGUGUAGGUCUGACAAUAGCGGGAAUAAAUACUGAUAAUAUUUUAAUAGAUAAUGACUUGAUUCUAUUAUUUAAUACUUUUUAGACUAAUAGAUAAUUUUUAGAUAUUAAUGGAAAAACCUCUACUUGAGUCAAAGCAGUAACUUCAAAGAACCAGAAAUAAAUUGUUGGCUAAUGCAGGCUGGUCUAGGAAACGUUGCCAAGUAUUUAAAAAGGAAAAAAUCUCCCCUUUUUAUGUUUAACCCAACCCCUACUUGUCCUUAAAAACCUUAUUUCUAUAAUAAAAUAUAUUUUUCUG